rnacentral:tRNA from 1 species
CCUCUCAUGGCGUAGUGGUAACGCGCCCCAACUAGAGAUCGGGGAGUCGUGAGUUCCAUUCUCACUGAAAAGA